CAGCCGCCGCGGGAACACGAAGGGUGCAAGCGUUAAUCGGAAUUACUGGGCGUAAAGCGUGCGUAGGCGGUUUGUUAAGUCUGCUGUGAAAUCCCCGGGCUCAACCUGGGAAUGGCAGUGGAUACUGGCAAGCUAGAGUGUGUCAGAGGAUGGUGGAAUUCCCGGUGUAGCGGUGAAAUGCGUAGAGAUCGGGAGGAACAUCAGUGGCGAAGGCGGCCAUCUGGGACAACACUGACGCUGAGGCACGAAAGCGUGGGGAGCAAACAGGAUUAGAUACCCCUGUAGUCCCUGUCUCUUAUAC
rnacentral:rRNA from 1 species